AACGGAAGGACGGCAAAACAGAAAUGCAGUCGCAGAAACAUCAACGACAGGGCCAAAGCAGUAGCAGAAACUCCAAGAACGGGGCCAGUAGCAGCUACGAUUAAAUCCAUGCUCAGCUCGAAUUUGGCUUCGGUGGAGGUCGAUAAGGUGCAAAAGGGUGAUGGCACAAGAACAAAACCGGCGAGAAGAAAAGCUCCGGCACGUAGGAAAAAGUUUCCAAGCACAAGAGUAGAGAGACAAAAGCAGAAAGAGUUGUGUGAUUAACGGCGGCGAUGGCUAGUCAAGGCGGUUCUUCUAAGAGAAGCCUGUCUAUGACAAACGCAUCUUUGUAGGAGAAGAAGAAAUCCUCUAAGAAUUUUAUGUCUCAGCAAAUGGCUUUAUGUAUUUUGGACGAGUGCAGUAGCAGAACACAAGUACGAGGGCAGUAGUAGAACUGGACAAGUAUGAGUGCGGUAGAAGGAUUUGAUGAGUGCAGUAGCAGAACACUAGUACAAGUGCAGUAGCAGAACUGGACGAGUGCAGUAGCAGGAUUAGGCGAUGAUGAGUGCAGUAGCAGAACUGGACGAGUAUGAGUGUAGCGAGUGCAGUAGCGGGAUUGGACGAGUGCAGUAGCAGGAUUAGGCAAUGACGAGUAAAGUAGCAGGAUUAGGCGAUGACGAGUGCAGUAGCAGAACUGGACAAGUGUGAGUGUAGUAGUAGGAUUGGACGAGUCCAGUAGCAGGAUUAGACGAUGAGAUGAAAAUAGUCGGAGAGUGAGGUUUUGUGAAAUAACAUAAAUGGAUUAUUCUCAAGAAAAAAAAAAACAUAAACGGAUUAUUCUUAGAGAGAAAUAAAGUAACAUAAAUAGAUUAUUCUAAAAAAAAGUAAAAUAAAGAGAUUAUUCUCAGAAAAAAAAAUACAAAAAAAAAACAACAUAAGGGGAUUAGAAGUUAAAAUAAGCAG